CCCAAUAAUAAGCCUUUUUCACCCAAGAUCGGUCCGGGGGGGGGGGGAAUAGGCAGGGAGGAGGGCUGACAUGUACAGCCCAUGGAGAGCUUUGAGAGGAGCGCGACUCCCAAAGCUGUAAUUACUGCCUGCGUUUUUUGGCUACAGAUCUGCUGCUAAAUUGGUUGGAAGGCACGGAAAUGGCAGUUACACCUUUCAGCAGGAAAAAACGUGUUUUGGUGGAGAAACGUGCCUGGGAAACCCUCCCCAAAUCCACAACCCCCAUCUAACACCCCAGCCUUACAGAGCCCUCCAGGAACUGGAAAAUCCAGAUUUGCUGCAUCUCUCAGGGAGACGAUUUCCUACGUGCCCCCCCCUAGCAUGAGGGUCCUGCUGAAGGUUAAACUUGUGAGUGCUUCUGGUUUUGCACUGAUUUAAUCUCCCCCCCACCCCCUAAAUAAAAGACAUGGGAAAAUGCUGGUGAAAACUGCACCCAUGUUGCUGGCUGGUCCCUGUUCAGCCCUGUCCCUCUUCCAGAGCCAGGUGUUAAAUGCUCGUCCCCACAUCAUGCCCUGGCCUGCUGCAGCUUCCCCUCCUGAAAACAAGGCACCAGGAGCAGGAGGUGUUAUUAGGAUAGAUCUUUUUGCCUUUUAACAGCUGUUAAUUGCCAUUAAACCCAAACAUCCACAGCUUCAUUGGAACGGCAUCUGAAUCUGUGUCGCAUCGCAAAGCCUGCGUCAGCGCUUGGUCUUGCUUCCUCCUACCUGCCAGCGAGGUGCAAUCGAUAAAUCCUCUCUCAGUGGUAGUUAGCUUGCACACUGGGACCCAUUUUUGGUCCCCUGCUGCCAGGCUUUCUCCUUUGACCUCCCCACCAUGCUGCAAGUCAUUGCACCAGCAGACGUGCCGUCACUGUAAGAAACUCAAACCCCCCUCCCUCAAGCAGAAAAGAAGAUGGGAUGCAAAACCUGUUCCCAAAAAUAUGCCGAAGAAGCAAGCAGGAACCUGCCCGCAAGGAAAUGGGUCCUGAGGCUGAAAUCAGCCUGCAGCUGCCAGCAAAAGCACGUGCUGGGUGUCACAGGGAUGGGAAUAGCUGUGACGAGCGUGGAGUAAAUCAAAGCCAUUAACAGGCAGGGCUGGGGGGGGAGGCUGCCUUCGUGGGGCUCCUUUCCAUGUUCCUUUUGGGGGUUGUAUCCGUAGCAUCCUUCCAUCACCUUGUGGCCCAGGAUCUGGGACCACCGUGAGGAGAAGCCAAGCCCCUUCAGAAAGUGUUAGGGCAGGAGUCUUCCCCAUGUCCAGGAAUCCACUGGCUCCUCGCAUCCCUCAGGAUGCACCCACCAAACCAUCACACCCACCUGGGAAUCUCAUGGGUACCAAACCACUGAUGCUAAACCAGCGGGGCAAGAUAAGACAUAGCCAUGGCUCCAAACCUUCAAGCAUCUUGUUAGACCCCAGGGUUUCCUCUCGCCCUGAACCCCAACACAAGGAGGGGGUGUCCAUGGCUGGCUCCCAGCACUUCCCCUCCUGUUUUCCCUCUCCACAGCCCUAAAGGAGCGGUUUGGACAAGACGAGCCCUUUCUGCCCCACAAAGCUCGUCAGCCAGCAGUGCUGGGCUUAUAAUUAUUAUUUCCUUAAAGAGGAGGCGAGCAGCUAUAGACAAAAAAGGUCCCCUCUUGUCAGAGCUGGAAUUUGAUGUCCUAACGACUGUUUUUGUACCAUGCCUGUUAGAGGAAAGAGCUCGGCAGGAGGGGGAAAGAGAGAUUUAAUUAUAGAGCUGCAUUGUGAUUUUGCACACAUAGCUGGCUGUUGUAAUCAGGUUACAAGUGUAUCUGAUUUUCUUCCCUCCCCUCCCUCUUCCUCCUCUUUCUCUUCUCUUUUUUGGCCUCCCCCUUUUUCCUUUCGGUGGGUCCAAAUUAGUUGCUUAUGUUUGGGUGUUGCAGAGACAAGCUGUUAUUUGGAGGAUCUCGAUGAAGGGAACAGUGUUUCUGAAGGGCCUCAGCAGCUCUUUGCUAGAGAAAGCCGAUGGUUCCCAGCUCCAGCAGAACCCCCCUUGGGAUGUGCAGGCAUCCCACCAUCCCCACGCUCCCUUCCCAUCGCCUCAAUAACGGGGUACAUACAUAUACAUGUCCCUUCCCCUUAUUCCUGCACAUCCAGGAUUCCCUCACUAAACAGAGGCUUCACUAGAAGAGGAGGAACCGUAUUUACCUCUGUUGAGGUGGCAGGAGGAAAAGAGAGGAGAAAAGAGCAUUUGUAAAAGCAACUUCAUCUUUUUCCAUGCGAGGCAAGGGAUGCCGCACUCGGAUUGGGGACUGUUGUUGGGUUCCUUCAGGAAUCCAUUGUUGUCCAUGUGAAUUCUUUUUUACAUUUCAAAUAACAGGAUUAUUUCCCCAGGGGGUAAUAUCCUGUAAUUUGAACACAAUAAUGGGAAUAAAUUACUUACUUAGAACUAAUAACGACAGCCUGAUUCCAAUAUAUAUAGGAACUGUAACAGCUUUGGUUAGUUAAAGUGUAAUUGUGUCGACGGAUGACAUUUUCUUUCAAAGGAAUCUGAAUGACUUUUAAUUAAAUUUGCUGGGGGUGGGGAAGAGAAGGAGGAGAUUUCACUGGGAGAUCUCAGCUGCAGGCGGGUCCCAGCAGUGGUGCCCCAAGUCAGGCAUCACCCCAUGGCUGCAGUCUCCAGGAGAGAAGGAAAUCAUCACUGAACCCAAUGUCCAAGGGAGAUCUGCAAGUGUGUGAAGAGAAGGGACAGCUUCCCCCAUCCCAGUUUGCCCAGUUUAGCGUUCCCAAAGAGGCCACCAGAGAGGGUUGUGCUGCUACAGCCAUCCCCAGCCUCAAAUGUGGGUGCUGCGUUUCAGCCAUCACCAUCGGGAUGCAGGGAUGCUGCAGUGAGAGCUCACCAGGCCCCAGGGAAUACAUCCUGUCCCACUUGACCAGAGCAUCACCUCCUGCUGCUCUGGAAGACCCAGAAGGGA